rnacentral:rRNA from 1 species
UACGUAGGCAGCAAGCGUUUGUUCGGAGUUACUGGGCGUAAAGGGUGUGUAGGCGGUUGUUUAAGUUUGGUGUGAAAUCUCCCGGCUCAACUGGGAGGGUGCGCCGAAUACUGAAUGACUCGAGUGCGGGAGAGGAAAGUGGAAUUCCUGGUGUAGCGGUGAAAUGCGUAGAUAUCAUGAGGAACACCAGAGGCGAAGGCGGCUACCUGGACAGUUACUGACGCUCAGGCACGAAAGCGUGGGGAGCAAAAGGG